AACGAACGCUGGCGGCGUGGAUAAGACAUGCAAGUCGAACGAGAGAAUUGCUAGCUUGCUAAUAAUUCUCUAGUGGCGCACGGGUGAGUAACACGUGAGUAACCUGCCCCCCGAGAGCGGGGAUACGCCCGUAGGGAAACGUGGGAUUAACUACCGCAUAGUAUACGAAAGAUUAAAGCAGCAAUGCGUCGUUGGGGAUGGGCUCGCGGCCUAUUAGUUAGUUGGUGAGGUAACGCUCACCGAAGGCGAUGACGGGUAGCCGGUCUGAGAGGAUGUCCGGCCACACUGGAACUGAGACACGGUCCAGACACCUACGGGUGGCAGCAGUCGAGAAUCAUUC
rnacentral:rRNA from 1 species